CCCCGGCUCCGGCUGCCCCGCCAGAAUACGCCACAGGAUCCGUCAUGACAAGUAGACAUGACCAGAGCCUGUGAAAGAAUAUGUAAAAUUCCAGGAAGUGAUAACAUUCCUUGAAAGUCCUUGAUGACAAUGCAAAGGAAGAAUUCUUUUGGAGCACCUUUUAUCUUUAACAUAUUCAGGUUUUUUAUUACACAUUUGGAAAUUCUGUGAUUUUUUUUUCCAGUGAAAACAAAACAAAACAAAACAAACAAACAAAAAAAGUGGAAAGCAUCUUUUAAUAGUCAUUUUCUGCAAGAAAACUACCACAUCAUUAUACCAAACCUGACAGAGACAUCAAGCAAUGUCAGAGAUGUCAAACUUAUGUUGCAAGUCAAGUGUAGAACUGGAAUAAAAUUCCUGCCUAUCUGUCUAUUACUUUAAAUAUGGGAUUUUAAUUUCCUGAUGCUCUGAAUUAUUUCCUUCUCUCUAUGUGUCAUUCUUUAACUUCAAGUCCUGUUCUGAAUCCAUCAAAUAUAUUCUGAUCCCAUUUUUUUGUUAACUCAUGUAACUUAUCUGUGCCAUUCAUCAAAGUCUACGGUAUGAUUUUCAUAGUAAGUGUCUCCUCCGGUGAUUACGACUUUGGUGCAGAAAUUCUGGCAAAUGUUGCCUUGUAAUUUUUGCCAUAUUCUGUAUUAAAUCAUAUUAAAAUAAUAGAAUCUUUUAUUCAUCUCAGUAUGCUUAAGAUGCUCCUCAGGAUCUGAAUUCUGCGUUUGUGCUGCAAUACACAAAAGCUUACUUGUUUUACUGAGGAUAGGGAAGUUAUACUGGAAGAUGUUAUUUUAUGAAAUCUGAGCUGGACAAAAUAAACUUCCUUGUAUUACUGCUAUUGUGGAAGAAUGUAAUUCUUUGUAAACAUUGAGUGCAUGUGAGUAUUUGAAGUCACAAACCCCUGCAUAUAUCUGUUAUAUAAUGGGCACUUGGAGCCAUCUAUCAUUAAUGACUUUUUUAUUAAUAUGUUGUAUUUGUCUUAACAGAAGUCCUUAUGUUUUGUGUUAGAGCAAUGGGUCCUGGGAAUUUGAACACAAACUGUCCCAUGGCAGCCAGCAAUCAGUAUUUUGGCAGUUGUGGGAAGACUGUUGCCAAUAUCACUCACCUGCUAUUACUAAAGCAGCAGUAUCACAAGACAGCAAUAAAGAAGAGGGAAAAGAAAGUUAUUGUUUGUUUAACUGGCAUGAAAGCAAAGCGAGCUGCAUGGCAAGAGGCCAAAUGGUUGCUCACAAGAAA